CUCUGCCGCCGGCUUCAGGCCUCUUGCGCGCACACAGAGCACCGCGCAGAGAGCGGAGGACCGGCUGGCUGACUAGGGCCGCCGCCGCCAAGAACCUUCGGCAGCAGCAGGCGCCGGCAUUCUCCGUGCUGGGGGCGGCUUUGGGAUGGGCGGAUCGUCCUGCUCGCUCCUCGGCCCUUUGGAGGGGCUGCGAGCGACUCGCCUCCUUUCCAGCUCUGGCUUCCCGUGCCUGAUGAGCAUGCCCGCAAAGCAGAUUACAACACAGAAAACCCAUUUUUAAAUGCCCACACAGUCAGAAAAACUGUGCAAACCCAUUCGCAAGCUACACCAACUGGAUGAGGCCUCAACCCCUUGGUUACACCACGGUCAAAAUUUGGAUUGCGUCACUCAGAAUCAACAUUGUGAAACCAACCAACUCAGCAAACAGAAAAAAGGAGCCAAGAAAGGGGUCCUCCUGGUCCAGUGACAGAUUCCCUUCUCAACUGCAAUGCUGGUCUGGACCUGGGCAUGCUGUGAAUGCCAAGCGAGGUCUCCCCCCGCCCCGCCCCACCCCACCCCCGGCCACACUGACUGGCUCAUGAUUUGCUCUCCUUGCAGCAAAGCUCCAAAUAGGGAAUAAAUGGGUGGAAAAUCAAUAA